AUUGAACGCUGGCGGCAGGCCUAACACAUGCAAGUCGAACGAGUGGCGGACGGGUGAGUAAUGUCUGGGUAACUGCCCGAUGGAGGGGGAUACCUCCUGGAAACGGUCGCUAAUACCGCAUACCAUCAGAGGUGCCUAGAUGGUGUUAGCUAGUAGGGGGGGUAACGGCUCACCUAGGCCACGAUCAAUCGCUGGUCUGAGAGGAUGACCAGCCACACGGGGACUGAGACACGGUCCAGACUCCUACGGGAGGCAGCAGUGGGGAAUAUUGCACAAUGGGCGCAAGCCUGAUGCAGCCAUGCAGCGUGUAUGAAGAAGGCCUUCGGGUUGUAAAGUACUUUCAGCGAGGAGGCGUUACUCGCAGAAGAAGCACCGGCUAACUCCGUGCCAGCAGCCGCGGUAAUUC
rnacentral:rRNA from 1 species